GCCUCGUACAUAAAUAACCGUGGCUGUGGUGGCUGCACGGUCCUGAUGGAGAACGCCCUCAAUGUUCAAAUUAUGAAGAAAACUGACAUUUCGGGAAUUUCCCCGUUGAAUUACAAAACAGGAUGUACAUGUACUGUGCGCAGCAGUUUUACAGAAAUAGGCCUUUACUGACCUGAGGCCUCAUCCAUCGUCGCUGGAUCAGAGGAGUUUAUGUCUGGUUCAUGUUUCUGAAGCAAACUGAAGUUUUCAACUAUACAAUGGGAGGAGACUCGACACUCAGUUUUGCAUUCGCCGUCCCAACUGCAUUGGGAGUAGUCAGCGUCACCGUGGAGGCUGUAGGAUUGACAGCUUCUGCAGCAACAGUAGCUAUUAUUGGGGUCGCUGCCGUGGGUGGAGCUGUGAUUGGAGUUGUCAUUGGCUAUUCCGUGGGAUCAACGCUCGGAAGUAUUAAGAAGAGUAGACGGAAACAAAAAGCACGGAUGAAAUAGGCACCGUUAUUGUACAGUUCUUGCAAAGCGAUUCUUAAGCCGUAGACCCACUGCAAAAUUUCUCCUCAAUUUUCUUUGUAGAAUUUAAUGUUAACUUAUCUCAUCAAUAAUGACUCGUUAAUUUCUGAAUGCGUAUGAUUUCUAGAUCAGUACCCGAAGAAUCCAACUGAAUCAAAAUAAACGGAAGAGCAAAGAUGUAAUAUGCUGAAACUGUCAAAGCUUUCUUUGUAACUGUUACAACACAGAAGCAUGUUUGAAUUCUGCUAGAGUUUCCAACUUAUGGCAGUUUAUGAUAAGAGUGCAUCGAAAUCCAAAUGAAAUUGAGUAUUGUCUUGACUAUGUAUAGUUGGUUAUUCUCCAGAAGUGCAAGCUUGUAAUAGUUAAUUCUUUAUUCCAAACCAGCAUAUAGCGAAUUCCACGAGUGGGAGUACACGUACGUAACUUAUAACGGUUAUCAGCUUAUCGGAAUGACACAUGUAACCAAUUUUCUUCGACAAUCUAUAAUAUCAGUAUUAACAUUCAGCAAUACUAUACGAACUAUAUUGAACGUGUAUAGGCCUAUUAGACCCAUGGUAAUCAACAUUCAUCAUUUGGUAUGAUUGUUUCAUUCAACAUAUUUUUGUGAGAAAAUUGCAAGUUAUUUGUCUUUUUUCGCUCGACCCAUUUCAUUGUAGAACGGUCCACUCUGAUCUUACCCAACCUCGUUCCCAUGGCACUUAAGCAGUUAUGCUAGUUUAUGCACCGCCCUUCCUAGAAUAAGUUUAAUGCUGCAUGAAUUUUUUUCGAGCUUUCGUUGAAAUCCGAUCGAACAAUUACAACACGGGACAACUGGACAAAACUCCACAAUAUUUUGUACGUCUGUAGUUUUACCAUCACAAAAUUCUGUGAAGGGCAUUCGCCCACUUCAGUACCGUUUGAGGGCGUUGAGUGGACGAGCGAAUUGAUCAGUCCGCCGUGGCUGCUCUGUAGCUACUAUGAAUGAGGUUGUCGGAUUGAUCUCGAAAAGAGGAUGGAUGACAACGCCCUGUCGGGUGUUUCAAUUAUAACUACGUAACUGUACAAAGGAUGGAUGUAUGCUGCCCCCGGAGACUUCUGUGCCUUCGUCCCCUUGAUAUUUUGAAAUGUACAUGGCCUAUACACAGGCCAAAUAAAUUGGUAUAUUUUUGCCACCUUAAAAAAAAUGUGUGCACUCCCAGUCUCCCCUCAGAAAUGUCAUCAUAUAGUUACGCAAUAGACCUGACCUUAUGCACAUGACGUCACUGAGCGUAUCUUCCUGUGGGAUAGGCUCGAGUAAACGUCUUGUUUAACGAUAUUAGAAUACUCAGUCUGAGACACAGCAAUGCAUAACCUUUGUAACAAGCCACCUUAUGCUGAUAUCACUUCAUAUAACUUGCUUUAAGUUUAAAUAAUCAUUUACUUUCCUGUCUCAUGUAAUCAGAAUUACUGCUUUAUAGAUUUAACGCAAUAAUAAUACAGUAAAUGAGUAAAAUA
rnacentral:lncRNA from 1 species